rnacentral:rRNA from 1 species
AUUUGUCUGGUUAAUUCCGAUAACGAACGAGACCUUAACCUGCUAACUAGAUCCAAUUAUCCGAUUUUUGCGAUCUUCUUAGAGGGACUAUGUAAUAAAAAUACAUGGAAGUUUGAGGCAAUAACAGGUCAGUGAUGCCCUUAUAUGUCCUGGGCUGCACGCUGUGCUACACUGAUGCAUACAACAAGUGCCUAACCAGACAUGGUAUGGUAAUCUCUAAUAUGCAUCGUGAUGGGGAUAGAUCUUUGCAAUUAUAGAUCUUGAACGAGGAAUUCCUAGUAAGUGCAAGUCAUCAUCUUGCAUUGAUUAUGUCCCUGCCCUUUGUACACACCGCCCGUCGCUCCUACCGAUACCGGGUGAUCCGGUGAACCUUUUGGACUCAUUUGGGAAAGAUAAGUAAACCAUAUCACCUAGAGGAAGGAGAAGUCGUAACAAGGUUUCCGUAGGUGAACCUGCRGAAGGAUCA